GACGAACGCUGGCGGCGUGCUUAACACAUGCAAGUCGAGCGAGGCCCCACCUUCGGGUGGGUGUCCUAGCGGCGAACGGGUGAGUAACACGUGGGCAACCUGCCCCUAGCACUGGGAUAACCCCGGGAAACCGGGGCUAAUACCGGAUAUGACCGCGGAAGGCAUCUUCUGCGGUGUAAAGGGUUACUGGCUAGGGAUGGGCCCGCGGCCUAUCAGCUUGUUGGUGGGGUAACGGCCUACCAAGACGACGACGGGUAGCCGGCCUGAGAGGGCGACC
rnacentral:rRNA from 1 species